AAUGAAUUGAAAGUGUAUAUGUGGGCUGAAAUUAAAGGAACAGUUGGUUGUUGGAUAGCCACAGUCACUGGUGGGUGCCAGUAACAGCCUUGUGUCCUUCACCGGGGCUGGGACCCGAGUUCUUGAUUCCUCCAAGGAUUUGGCUGUGUCCUACCCCAGGACUUGAUCCAGACUGUUUGAUUGCUCCCAGAGAUAAUCCAUCCAAGAAGUCCUCGAUCACUUUACUAGCAGCAGAGUCUCCUGAGUUCAUCAAGGGGCGAGCUUCGGUCUCGAUGAUAACGAAAUUUAUCAGCACAAGAAUUAGAAAGAAACUUAAAGAUUUCCUGAGAAAGGUUGCCAUGGGGAUAUGGAAAAAGGAAGUUGAAGGAAAAGAGUCGGAAGAUAUAGAAACCUAGCAGGGUUGGAUUUGGAUCUGCUUGUAUAUGUGAAGAGCUAGCAAGAAAUGAUGCUGUCGGUAUGCGAUACUUAUAGUGGUAAAGAGAUGAUCUUUCUUUGACCAAUUGCAGACAUUUGCGCAUGCAAAGUAAAACCAUUCAAAUGUUGUAUUCAGGAACCAACCAGGGAAGUUCUUGCCUUGGAGAAGAAGGAAAAAAAAAUCAAGGAUGAGAAAAAAGGGAGCAAGGAAG
rnacentral:misc_RNA from 1 species